GUAAUAAAUUAAAGCGUAGUUCGGUACACUUGAGACCUACCUGUUCUUCGUUAGGUUUUCCAUGUGCAACAAAUUACAGGAACAUUUAUAUUAUAUUAGUUUGACAUAGACUGACAUAGAGGUUAACAUGGCUUUGUUGUCAUUAUAAGUAAAGUGUUACGUUUCAUAAAGUCAAGUGAUUUUUAUUAAUAUACUUAAUUAAAUUAAUAAAAGCAUGGCAUGUCCUUGAAUGGAUUAUUAUUUUAUUCAUCAAGUUAUAUGAACAUGUUAUUUUCAUUAAACGAUCAUACAAAGUGAAAGCUAUGGCUGGUGUCAUACAGGAGGUUAGAGAUCCUCUGUCCACGGACAGUAAAGGAUCUAUAAGUAUCAAAACGAUAUCUUAUGAAGAAAUUGCUAUUAAGCUUUUAAACGAAAAGCUUUUAUUAACGGCCUUAGAAUUACAUGCAGAGUUAUGUGAAGCUGGAAAAGAAUUACCUAUUUUAAGAGAAUUUUUUUCAAAUCCAAAUCAUUUUGAAAAUCAAAGUAUUAAGCCAGAACCAUAUACCACUAUGCCUAGAUCUUCUAGUCAGGCUACUUUGGAUUCACUUGAUAUGACAAGAUAUUCAGAAGAUGGUGCAGGUGUUGAUGAAAGAGUAGCAAUUUUAGAAUUUGAACUAAGAAAGGCUAGAGAAAGUAUUUCAGCUCUCCGUGCAAAUCUUACAGUAGUAACAGAAUCAGAAGGAACUAUAUCUGAUAAAUUCUCUGAUAAAUAUUUAUCUAAUGAAACCCCCAUAAAACCUCAUGAACAAAGAGCUAUAAAUUUUCUUGUUAACGAAUACUUGUUGGCAAGCUCUUACAAAUUAACAUCAAUUACAUUUAGUGAUGAAAAUGAAAAUCAAGAUUUUGAAGAUUGGCAAGAUGUAGGAUUAAAUAUUCCAAAACCAGCAGAAUUAUUACAAAUUUAUAGAGAAUAUAUGAGAGCAAAUGGAUAUGAUAAAUCAUCUUCUGUAAGUGUUGGUGUGCAAACUGAUUUCUGUGAACUAAAAUCAGAAACAGAAGCAGAAAAAGAUGAAUUUAAAGAAAUGGUAAAAAAAGUAGAGGAACUUAAACAACAGACUGCAUUAUUAGAACAGGAAAGAUUGGAUUUACAACAAUUUAUUGUCACUAGUGAAAAUUUAUCUCAAAAUCCAAUUAAACAAGGUAGUAGCGGAACAAUACAAACAAUAAAUUCAAAUUCUACUACUCCAGAUAAAUUUGAACUUCUUGAAACACCAGCUCGUGAUACAUCGACAGUUACUCAAGAAGUCGAAGAAGAUGAUAGCGUUUCUGUUGUUGUCAGUCUUGGCGAAACUGAUCCCGGAGAUAAAGAAUGGACUAGAAUACAAUUACCUAGAGUGGAUAUUAUUGAAGAAUCAUCCAUUCUUCCUAAUCCAUCAUCUAGACAUUUACCAUUAAAAUUCAAAAUGGAAGUAAUAGCACAUUGCUUAAUAAAUGUUUCAAGUUCUGCAAUUUCUACUGCGGAAGAAAUUUUCAAAAAUGGUAUAACACGUGAUACUCUCAUUCAAAUUUUAGCACAAACAUUACCUCGGAUUGUACCUAAUGUUAUUUUAAAUAAGCGCGAAGAAGUGAUACCAUUAAUAUUAAGCACAAUUCGACUUCAUAAUGAUUCUACAGAAAGAGAAAAAUUAUUACAAUUAUUAUUUAAUCUAAAGAAAAGGCCACAAGAAGAUGAAAGACAAUUGAUUUUAGCUGGUUUUGUUGCUAUGGCAAAACUUGAAGAUGAACCAAUGGAAGGUGAAGAAAUUUUGACUAUUUGUUGGGAACAAAGUCAACACAAAUAUCCUGAAAAAAGAUUAUUAGCUGUUGAGUGCUGUUCAGUAUUAGCUCCAUAUAUGUCAGUUUGCAUAAGAAAUUCUUUAAUGCUUUCUAUGCUUCAACAAAUGUUACUUGAAGAUAAAGAUCCUACAGUUAGGGCUAGUGUAGUGAGAAGUCUUGCAUUAUUGAUAGCUUUAAUGGAUGAUCCUGAUAAAUAUUUUCAGUGUGAAGAAUUAGCAUUAACAGCACUUCAUGAUAUAUCAUCUAUUGUUGUUGAAGUUGCAUCUUCCUUACUUUUACCAAUUUUAGCUCAAUGGGCGCUUUCUCUCAAAAGAUUACAGUCACAUCUAUUGCCACGUAUUAUAUCUAAAGUAAAAAAUCAUUUAAAAUCUUCAUAUCUUCAACAUUCAAAUAAAGAUCAUAUCGAUGAAGAAAGAAUAGUAUCAUCAAUUGGAGUAUUACAAUAUUUACUUCCACAUAUGGUUAUCUGUAUAGCAGAUACUGAUUCAGUUAGAACUUAUAUUGAACAUGGAAUAUCAUCUGAUUUACCUGAUGUGUUUGUGAAUUUGUGUCAUUCCAAUAUCGUUAAUCCAAAAGUAUUUUAUGAUGGUGAUGUGGAUAUAGGAAAUCUUCUAAAUGCGUUUUUUGCAAAUACAUGGGAAAAUGAUUCAUGGCCAGAAUUAGAUUGGUUUACAAACAAAUUAGUGUUGGAUAUUUUGGAAAUGGUAAAAUCUGUUGAAACUAAUCAAGAGACAAUUUUAAAUGCUCUUUUAAUGUAUAUUCAUUCUUUAUGUUUGGGUUUUGGACGAUAUAUCACACAAACACGGAUUCAACCAAUAAUUGCAUCUGAAAUAAUUGAACUUGAACAACAAUUAACGACUUUAUCAACUGAUAAAAAGAAUAUGAAUUUGACAUUAAUUCCAACAUAUUUAAUUAUAUUGUCCACUUUGAAUGGUAUAGAUGUUUCUAAAUCUUUAAAACAGUUCCUUGUUGUUUUAUCUAUGAGUGGCACCAAUAUUACUAGUUUACAGAUCGCAAUUAUUAUGUUAUGCGCUCAAGAAAAUAUGCAAGAACAUGUUCUUAGUGGUUUAUGGGAUGGGGUAGUACAUCAAAGACCUAUUGUAAGAUGCGCAACUGCAACAUUAUUUGGUUGUAUAAUAGCUCAUAUUUCCGAUCAGUUAGCAAGUGCUAAAGUAGUUCCUGCAAUUGUAACGCUCGUUAGUGAUCCUGAUAUAACUGUUCGAUCUGCUGCAAUUCCUUCUCUUGGUCGUUUAAUAACGGAAUGUAAAGUUAGAGAGAUCCGUGAUAAAGCACGUUUAACUUUAGAAACUAUUGCUAAAGAACCUCAUGGCAUUCCGCCAACUUUAGCACUUCCUUUGGUUUCAACAUUAGCAUUUAUUGCUCCUAAUUGCCCUCAAAAUUAUAUAGAAGAUGUUAUAGCAACGCAAUUAAUGGGCAUAACUUCAUCAGCAUUACAGCAAAGUCGUAAAAUUGAUCUCAUUAGUUCAUUAAUUGAAGCAUAUUCUGUCUUGGUUUAUUGUCCAUUGAAUAAUCAAUGUGUUUCUAGCGUGUUAUUGCCCGGAUUAAAGUAUCUCGAACAAUUGAUUAAUCAAUAUUUACCUCAACAAAAAGAAACAGUUAGAUCAUUAUUACGAGAAACAGAAUCACGACAGGAUCUUUCAAAACCAAUGGAGAGAUCUUUAUCAAUGAGUUCUGGCCUUUCUUUAUCAAUGGCUUCGGUAAACGUAGGACAAGGUGUAGAAGAUAUGAGACAGAGAGUGAGCAAAAUAUUUCAACAAAAAACUAGUUCACCAAGAAAGGAUCCAGCCAGAUUGGUUAAUGAUCGAAAGCGAUUGAAAUCGUUUCAAUAAUUGGCACGUACUUCCGAUGAAAGGGUUCAAUCCUGAUUCUCGUCUUACGAUGAUCGAAGGGAAGCCAGUUAUGUAGACAAUCCCUCCGUCCAUGAAGGUCGAAUGGGGUGCAACCACUAAGAUCGGCGCUUCCGCCCUCGUCGCCUGCCUUCCGCGCACAACGAUUCUCAUUCCUCCUGCUUGAAACCGGAAACGACGUGACGGAACAACGACUCCGAUCGAGAGAAAGAGAGAGAGAAAGAGAGAGCAAAAAUUUGGGAGGAAAAAAACCUACUUCCGAA